UUCACACUUUCACUUUUCCGUCAUCUCUCUCAAACCCUACACCCGUCGGGCACACCCUCCCUUCCCUCCUCACAAUAUCUUUCGGCAAGACCUUCAACGCAAUAGCAGCGGAGCCACGACGAGCUUUCCUUUCCAACGACGACCCGCGGACGAUGUCCCUCUCACCCAGCGGUCCAAAUCUCGAGCGAGCGGUGCUAGAUCUAUACUACCCAUGGGCCACUCGAUCUCCAUAGACCUACGAGCACCACAAAUCCUCUUCCGCCAGCGAACUCUUGAACGACGAGCAACCAGUAAACAAAGAGGGGACCCACGGACCACCUUGAGCUCUUCAGGAUGUUGCCAGUGGAAAAUCAAUUCUGUUCACUCCAAAGCUACUUUCUAAUUAUGCUGUAUGGUCCGGAGAAAGAAAGCUUUGUCCAAUUUCAAGGUGGUGUAUGUGGGUGCUGCAUUUUGUAUCCGUGGAGGUCCUAAAAGAGACAGUGGCCAUGGAGUUAGUGGCAUCGAAGAAUCAUUAGAAUGAAAAUUAUUUUCUGUCAGUUGGAUGGUUAUUGAAGCAUCAAACAAGAUCAAGGUAUGUGUAGUGGAGUUUUUUAAAUUUUUGGAAAAGAAAAAAAUUAGUAAAACAUUAUGCUUGUUGACAUGGUGUACUAACUACCACGAUAUUGAUAAGUUUUGAUGACCACAAAUCAUAUUGACAUUCUUGAUCAAGCUCUUCUCAGACCUGGACGAAUUGAUGGAAAAGUUGAGUUCUCAAAUCUAAAUGAGGAGCUUGUGGUCAUUCUUCAAGAGCUUGAAGCAACUACUUAAAAGGAAAAGCUUGAAGCAACUACUUAAAAGGAAAGUUGGAGAUAGAGGAACUUUUCGGCACGACACAAAGAACUGCCACUAGAUGUGAGUUAGAUUACACACUCACCCAUCACAUCCCUUGUUUAGAAAGCAUAUAAAGAUGGACAUUCACCAUGCCCAGGUUGGUGGGAGCAACAUUUUGAGAAAGGGGAAUGUUUGGGGAAGAAUUUUGGCAUAGCUUCAACAUGUACAAAGUUGAUGUGAUGUAAAUAUAGUUUGUUAGGUUAGUGUAUGAAACGUAGGUUUCUUUCUCUUAUUGUAGUUAUAGGUAUUUGUAUAAAGUAUAAUGUACACAUUUGAUCAUAUUUAGUUUGUAUAUGUAUAUGAAGACUUUGACCUUAUUUUAUGCAACUUUGUUACAGUUUGGAAUUUA